UACGGAAGGUGCAAGCGUUGCUCGGAAUCACUGGGCGUAAAGCGCGUGUAGGCGGCCCUGCAAGUCGGAUGUGAAAUCCCACGGCUCAACCGUGGAAGUGCAUUCGAAACUGCAGGGCUAGAGUCCUGGAGAGGAAGGUGGAAUGCUUGGUGUAGAGGUGAAAUUCGUAGAUAUCAAGCGGAACACCGGUGGCGAAGGCGGCCUUCUGGACAGUGACUGACGCUGAGGCGCGAAAGCGUGGGGAGCGAACGGG
rnacentral:rRNA from 1 species